AUGGCAUUCAUGGGAUACAUAGUGUCCAAGAAGGGUAUCAUAGUAGAUCCGAUGAAGAUUGAGGCUAUUCAUGGUUGGGAUAGGCCCACAUCUGUUAUAGAGAUUCGGAGCUUCAUCAGAUUGGCUGGUUAUUACAGGCGCUUCAUCAAGUGUUUCUCCACCAUUAGAGCCCCAUUAGCUUAUUUGACCCAUCAGGAUGUUCCUUUUGUAUGGUCUGAUAGUUACAUUACAGAUGAGUCCCACAUGUUUUGGUAUGAUUCUGUUGAGAUGGAUGAUCGUCUGACCUUUGUUAAGGAGCUGGUUGCUAUAUUAGCUAGAGAUAUUCGCUAUCUUUGUUCCAAGUCCAUACAUGUGGUUAAGGACCGAGCACCAAUUACCAUCGCAUAUAGAUCGAGUCUAUUGGAGCCAGUUCUAGAGACCAGGUUUCGGGUUAUGGGUUUGGCUUACCUAUCAGAGAGUUAUGAAUGGACUCAAUCGACAAUUUUAGUCAACAAGUCACAACUGAAAAGAAACAGUAACCUUUACUACACAUGGACAGGAAGACUGUGUAUACCAUUUCUCGCGCAAGGUCAUGUAAUACCCUCCAUGAAAUUAGCCAAGAUUUUGCACUCAAGAGGCUUCUAUAUAACAUUUGUCAACACUAAAUAUAACCAUAAACGCCUAAUCCGAUCCCAAGGACCGGACUUUGUGAAAGGCUUCCAGGAUUUCCAAUUUGAAACUAUCCCAGAAGGAUUGCCACCAUCAGAUCGCGAUGUAACUCAAGAUCCUGCUUCGUUAUGUGACUCUAUCAGGAAGAACUGCUUGACUCCUUUUAGGGAUUUACUAUCAAAGCUUGUUUCAUCACCGGUCGUACUACCAAUUUCUUGUAUAGUAUCAGAUGGGAUAAUGAGCUUUGCAAUUAAGGCUGCACAAGAAUUUGGAAUCCGUGAUGUACAAUUUUGGACAGCCUCAGCUUGUGGUUAUAUGGGAUGCCUUCAAUUUGAUGAACUAAGAAGAAGAGGGAUCAUCCCAUUUAAAGAUGACAGUUUUAUGGAGGAUGGUACGCUGGAUACAAUUGUCGAUGGGAUUCCAGGAAUGAGAAACAUUAGGUUGAAGGACUUGCCAAGCUUUAUUAUGACUACGGAUCCAAAUGAUAUUAUGCUAAACUAUUUAAGUGAUGAAGCACAAAAUUGCUUGAAAUCAUCUGCAAUGAUCAUCAACACAUUCACUGAAUUGGAACGUGAAGUCCUGGAAGCGAUUGAAGCUAGAUUCCCAAAUAUUUAUGUUACAGGUCCACUUUCAUUGAUGGAAAAAACCAUCCCAGAAAACAAAUUGAUCUCAUUUAGGCCAAGUUUAUGGAAAGAAGAAUUUCAGUGUCUUGAGUGGUUGAAUAAACAGAAACCAAGCUCGGUAAUCUACGUGAAUUAUGGAUGUGUGACUUUAAGGUCAGACCAUCACCUGAACGAAUUUGCGUGGGGACUUGCAAAUAGCAAGCACCCAUUCUUGUGGAUCGUUAGGCCUGACAUAGUGAUGGGGGAUUCAGCAGUGUUGCCUGAUGAGUUUCUUGAAGAGAUUAAAGACGGGGUUAUUAGCAAGCUAGUGUCCACAAGAUCAAGUUCUUUCCCACCCGUCUAUUGGUGUUUUUCUAACACAUUGUGGAUGGAACUCUAUGAUUGAAAGCAUAGGUUCAGGGGUUCCUCUAAUUUGCUGGCCAUUCUUUGCUGAGAAACAAACAAAUUGUCGAUAUGCUUGUGCAGAGUGGGGAAUAGGUGUUGAGGUCAAUCAAGAUAUCAAGCGUCAAGAAAUCGAACUAGUUAUUAAAGAUAUGUUAGAAGGUAAAAAAGGUAAGGAGUUAAAAGACAAAACGUUGGAGUGGAAGAAGAGAGCAGUAGAGGCAACUGAUAUUGGAGGGCCUUCAUGGAAAUACUUUGAUACAUUCUAGGAAAAACUUCUUAAAUAAACAAUUUCUAAGCAAGAGAAAAAUCUAAUAAGCAAUAGUUAGCUAAUCUUGUUUUCUUUAAAUAAGUUGUCUUAACUGAAUCACAGAAAUAAUAUGGAGCUGAAUGUUUAUCCCUUU